rnacentral:rRNA from 1 species
UACGGGGGGGAGCAAGCGUUGUUCGGAUUUACUGGGCGUAAAGGGCGCGUAGGCGGCCAGCGCAAGUCAGUUGUGAAAUCUCCGGGCUUAACUCGGAAAGGUCAACUGAUACUGCGCGGCUAGAGUGCAGAAGGGGCAACUGGAAUUCUCGGUGUAGCGGUGAAAUGCGUAGAUAUCGAGAGGAACACCUGCGGCGAAGGCGGGUUGCUGGGCUGACACUGACGCUGAUGCGCGAAAGCCAGGGGAGCGAACGGG